AUGUGGGGCACUCCUCCGGUGGUGGCGCUGUGGGCGCGGCUCGCCGUGUGGUCGCGGUCGAUGCGGUGGUGGCGACCGAUCGAAGGGAUCAUUGAUUCGCGUAGGUUGGAGAAAUCGGGUUCAUUCUUAUCGCGACAAAUCCAGAAGGGACUUCUGGUUGGCUGCGCUGUGCGUGGUGGCGCGGCGCGGUCGGGGAUUUUGGGCGGGAGGGCACCCGCGCACCACGCACGCCGGGAUCUCCCUUCUGGACAGCCUACGCUUUCCCUUCGAAAUUCAAAACGGAACGGUAAAUUAAAAAAAAUAUUUUUAAAAUAA
rnacentral:rRNA from 1 species